UACAGAGGGUGCGAGCGUUGUCCGGAAUCACUGGGCGUAAAGGGCGCGUAGGUGGCGCGACAAGUCAGUGGUGAAAGUUCGAUGCUUAACAUCGAAUCGGCCACUGAUACUGUUGGGCUUGAGCACUGUAGAGGCUAAUGGAAUUCCGGGUGUAGCGGUGGAAUGCGUAGAGAUCCGGAAGAACACCGGUGGCGAAGGCGGUUAGCUGGGCAGUUGCUGACACUGAGGCGCGACAGCGUGGGGAGCAAACAGGAUUAGAAACCUGAGUACGUA
rnacentral:rRNA from 1 species